GAUCAUGGCUCAGGAUGAACGCUGGCGGCAUGCCUAAUACAUGCAAGUCGAACGGGAGUGCUUGCACUCCAGUGGCGAACGGGUGAGUAAUACAUAGGUAACCUGUCCUUAAGACGAGGAUAGCUUCUAGAAAUGGAAGAUAAAACUGGAUAGGACAUCACAAAUCACAUGAUUAGAUGUUUAAAAGAGCAAUCUACUUAAGGAGGGGCCUGUGGCGCAUUAGCCAGAUGGCGGGGUAAUGGCCCACCAUAGCGAUGAUGCGUAGCCGGUCUGAGAGGACGAACGGCCACAUUGGGACUGAGACACGGCCCAGACUCCUACGGGAGGCAGCAGUAGGGAAUUUUCGGCAAUGGGCGGAAGCCUGACCGAAGCAAUGCCGCGUGAAUGAAGAAGUAUUUCGGUAUGUAAAGUUCUUUUAUUUGGGACGAAAAAACAAAUUGACGGUACCAAAUGAAUAAGCCCCGGCUAACUAUGUGCCAGCAGCAGC
rnacentral:rRNA from 1 species